rnacentral:misc_RNA from 1 species
UCCUGGUUAACCCAGGCAGUCUCGUCAGAGUGCCCAACUUAAUGCUGGCAACAGACGAUAGGGGGUGCGCUCGUUGCGAGACUUAACCCAACAUUUCACAACACGAGCUGACGACAGCCAUGCAGCACCUCUCACUCCAUUUCCUUGCGGACACUCCAGGCAUUACCCCGGAUUCGGAGGAGUUCAAGCCUAGGUAAGGUUCUGCGCGUUGCUUCGAAUUAAACCACAUAAUCCACCGCUUGUGCGGGCCCCCGUCAAUUUGUUUGAGUUUUAGCCUUGCGGCCGUACUCCCCAGGCGGGGUACUUAAUGCGUUAGCUACGGCACCGAGGGGGUCGAUACCCCCGACACCUAGUGCUCAUCGUUUACAGCGUGGACUAC